AUUGAACGCCGGCGGCAGGCUUAACACAUGCAAGUCGAGCGGGGUGAUGGUGCUUGCACUAUCACUUAGCGGCGGACGGGUGAGUAAUGCUUAGGAAUCUGCCUAUUAGUGGGGGACAACAUCUCGAAAGGGAUGCUAAUACCGCAUACGUCCUACGGGAGAAAGCAGGGGAUCACUUGUGACCUUGCGCUAAUAGAUGAGCCUAAGUCGGAUUAGCUAGUUGGUGGGGUAAAGGCCUACCAAGGCGACGAUCUGUAGCGGGUCUGAGAGGAUGAUCCGCCACACUGGGACUGAGACACGGCCCAGACUCCUACGGGAGGCAGCAGUGGGGAAUAUUGGACAAUGGGGGGAACCCGGAUCCAGCCAUGCCGCGUGUGUGAAGAAGGCCUUAUGGUUGUAAAGCACUUUAGGCGAGGAGGAGGCUCUUUUGGUUAAUACCCAAGAUGAGUGGACGUUACUCGCAGAAUAAGCACCGGCUAACUCUGUGCCAGCCGCCGCCGUAA
rnacentral:rRNA from 1 species